rnacentral:rRNA from 1 species
GGGUAGCAAUACCCCGAGUAAAGCGGCGAACGGGUGAGUAACAGGUGGGUAACGUGCCUCGAAGUGGGGGAUAACCCGGCGAAAGCCGAGCUAAUACCGCAUGUGGCUGUUUGGACGUCAAGUGCGAACAGUUAAAGAUGCAAAUCGCUUCGAGAUCGGCCCGCCCCCGAUUAGCUAGUUGGUGAGGUAACGGCUCACCAAGGCUUCGAUCGGUAGCUGGUCUGAGAGGAUGGUCAGCCACACUGGGACUGAGAUACGGCCCAGACUCCUACGGGGGGCAGCAGUCUAGAGGCUUCGGCAAUGGGGGCAACCCUGACCGAGCGACGCCGCGUGUGGGAUUGAAGGCGUUUACGUCGUAAACCACUGCUUGAGGGGAAGAAUGCCCGAAUGGCGAAUUCGGGAGAGACGGUACUCUCAAAGAAAGCCCCGGCUAACUCCGUGCCAGCAGCCGCGGUAAUACGGGGGGGGCAAGCGUUGUUCGGAUUUACUGGGCGUAAAGGGAGCGUAGGCUGUCGGUCAAGUCCGGUGUGAAACCCUUACCGCUUACCGGAAGGACGGCACUGGAUACUGGCCGGCUAGAGUGGGGUAGAGGCAAGCGGAAUUCCUGGUGUAGCGGUGGAAUGUGCAGAUAUCAGGAAGAACAUCUGUGGCGAAGGCGGCUUGCUGGGCCCUUACUGACGCUGAGGCUCGAAAGCGUGGGGAGCAAACGGGAUUAGAUACCCCGGUAGUCCACGCCUUAAACGGUGCGCACUAGGUGUGGGAGGUAUCG